rnacentral:rRNA from 1 species
UACGAAGGGGGCGAGCGUUGUUCGGAUUUACUGGGCGUAAAGGGCGCGCAGGCGGCUCAUUUUGUCAGGCGUGAAAGCCCCGGGCUUAACCUGGGAACUGCGUUUGAUACGGAUGGGCUAGAGUUCGGGAGAGGAGCGUGGAAUUCCCAGUGUAGAGGUGAAAUUCGUAGAUAUUGGGAAGAACACCGGUGGCGAAGGCGGGUCUCUGGGCAGUAACUGACGCUGAGGAGCGAAAGCGUGGGGAGCGAACAGG